CUUAAUGAUACAUCGCAUUUCAAACAAAAGAUUCAGGAAAGUACAGAAAACGUAUGGAUUCAAUGGAUUAGUGUUUGUUUGCUGGCGCAUAUUUCUUCUUUUAAUAUGUCAAGAUAGUUGUACGACGACUUUGCAUUCAUCUACAGACUUUCUCCUGCCGAUUUGCCAUUGGAAUUUAAACUGAAGAUGAAUUGCUACAUGAAGCGAUUUGGAAAAAUUCCAUUAGGCAUAUCUCUUGGUGGUUUCUUCUAUAUAAAAGAAGAUUUUUUCAUCAAGGCAUACAACGCAUUGUAUUCCAUCUUUAAUACUUUACUCGAUUUGAGUGGUGUAAUGGAAAAGGAAUCCAAAUGUACUUCGACUGCACUUAACG